rnacentral:rRNA from 1 species
AGAGUUUGAUUAUGGCUCAGGAUGAACGCUAGCUACAGGCUUAACACAUGCAAGUCGAGGGGCAGCAUUGGAGUAGCAAUACUCAGAUGGCGACCGGCGCACGGGUGAGUAACACGUAUCCAACCUGCCGCUUACUCGGGGAUAGCCUUUCGAAAGAAAGAUUAAUACCCGAUGGUAUAAAGAGUUCGCAUGUUCUCUUUAUUAAAGAAUUUCGGUAAGCGAUGGGGAUGCGUUCCAUUAGAUAGUUGCGGGGUAACGGCCCACCAAGUCUACGAUGGAUAGGGGUUCUGAGAGGAAGGUCCCCCACAUUGGAACUGAGACACGGUCCAAACUCCUACGGGAGGCAGCAGUGAGGAAUAUUGGUCAAUGGACGAGGGUCUGAACCAGCCAAGUAGCGUGAAGGAUGACUGCCCUAUGGGUUGUAAACUUCUUUUAUAAGGGAAUAAAGUGAGGGACGUGUCCCUUUUUGUAUGUACCUUAUGAAUAAGGAUCGGCUAACUCCGUGCCAGCAGCUGC